rnacentral:rRNA from 1 species
UGGGGAAUAUUGCACAAUGGGCGCAAGCCUGAUGCAGCCAUGCCGCGUGUGUGAAGAAGGCCUUCGGGUUGUAAAGCACUUUCAGCGAGGAGGAAGGUGGUGAACUUAAUACGUUCAUCAAUUGACGUUACUCGCAGAAGAAGCACCGGCUAACUCCGUGCCAGCAGCCGCGGUAAUACGGAGGGUGCAAGCGUUAAUCGGAAUUACUGGGCGUAAAGCGCACGCAGGCGGUUUGUUAAGUCAGAUGUGAAAUCCCCGGGCUCAACCUGGGAACUGCAUUUGAAACUGGCAAGCUAGAGUCUCGUAGAGGGGGGUAGAAUUCCAGGUGUAGCGGUGAAAUGCGUAGAGAUCUGGAGGAAUACCGGUGGCGAAGGCGGCCCCCCUGGACGAAGACUGACGCUCAGGUGCGAAAAGCGUGGGGCAGCAAACAGGAUUAGAUACCCCUGGUAGUCCACGCUGUAAACGAUGUCGAUUUGGAGGUUGUGCCCUUGAGGCGUGGNUUCCGGAGCUAACGCGUUAAAUCGACCGCCUGGGGAGUACGGCCGCAAGGUUAAAACUCAAAGGAAUUG